UAUACGCGGAUAUUUAAAGUACAUGGCGGAUUUAAUAAUUGUUAUGGAUAACCUCCAGCAGUAAGAAAUAUAAAUGCUCACUGCAGUUUUGAGUGCUCAACAAGAAUUGACCCCAUACUAUGCUCAGCAAGUAGGGCCCUUGUAUUUCUUUGAACCCUCAUGCAGUACAGUACUGCUGUUAGAAGAGGAGCAAACAGUGUGGUAUCUAUGGUCCACCAUCACUUC
rnacentral:lncRNA from 1 species